rnacentral:tRNA from 1 species
GUGGUCAUAGCUCAGCUAGCAGAGCGCUUCUCUGUGAAAGAAGAGGUCGCGGGGGCAGAACCCGCUGGCCACC